rnacentral:misc_RNA from 1 species
CACGUAGGGCGCAAGCGUUGUCCGGAAUUAUUGGGCGUAAAGAGCUCGUAGGCGGACUGUCACGUCUGCUGUGAAAAGCUGGGGCUUAACCCUGGCCUUGCAGUGGAUACGGGCAGACUAGAGGUAGGUAGGGGAGAAUGGAAUUCCCGGUGUAGCGGUGAAAUGCGCAGAUAUCGGGAGGAACGCCGGUGGCGAAGGCGGUUCUCUGGGCCUUACCUGACGCUGGGGAGCGAAAGCGUGGGGAGCGAACAGG